rnacentral:rRNA from 1 species
GGUAGCAAUACACCGGCGGACGGGUGCGUAACGCGUACACAACGUACCUCAGAGCGGGGGAUAGCAUUGGGAAACUGAUGGUAAUACCCCAUGGUGUUGAAGAAUGGCAUCAUUUCUCAACUAAAGGUUACACUCUGAGAUCGGUGUGCGUCUGAUUAGCUAGUUGGCGGGGUAACGGCCCACCAAGGCGACGAUCAGUAGGGGGUGUGAGAGCAUGACCCCCCACAUGGGUACUGAGACACGGACCCAACUCCUACGGGAGGCAGCAGUAAGGAAUAUUGGACAAUGGGCGCAAGCCUGAUCCAGCCAUGCCGCGUGAAGGAUGAAGGCGCUCAGCGUUGUAAACUUCUUUUGGACGGGAACAAUAACCCUGGUGCGCCAGGGCUUGAGGGUACCGUCAGAAUAAGCACCGGCUAACUCCGUGCCAGCAGCCGCGGUAGUACGGAGGGUGCAAGCGUUAUCCGGAAUCACUGGGUUUAAAGGGUGCGUAGGCGGCCUUGUAAGUCAGUCGUGAAAUCGCUGGGCUCAACCCAUGCAAUUGCGAUUGAUACUGCGAGACUUGAAUGGGGUUAAGGCAGGCGGAAUGUGGCAUGUAGCGGUGAAAUGCAUAGAUAUGCCACAGAACACCGAUUGCGAAGGCAGCCUGCUGGGCCUUUAUUGACGCUGAGGCACGAAAGCGUGGGGAGCAAACAGGAUUAGAUACCCUGGUAGUCCACGCCCUAAACGAUGUUUACUUGCUGUUUGCCCUUCGGGGUGAGUGGCGUAGCGAA